rnacentral:rRNA from 1 species
UACGUAGGGGGCGAGCGUUGUCCGGAAUUACUGGGCGUAAAGCGCAUGUAGGUGGCUGUUUAAGUCUGGGGUGAAAACCCAGGGCUCAACCCUGGGAUUGCCUUGGAAACUGGAUAGCUUGAGGGAUGGAGAGGACAGUGGAAUUCCUAGUGUAGCGGUGAAAUGCGUAGAUAUUAGGAGGAACACCAGUGGCGAAGGCGGCUGUCUGGACAUUACCUGACACUGAGAUGCGAAAGCGUGGGGAGCAAACAGG